CGGCGUAAAGAGUGGUUAUGGAAUUCUUAUACUAAAGCCGAAAGCCCCUCCAACUGUUAUACGUGCCCAGAGGCUAGAACAACACUACACGAAAGUAGCUUUAUUAACGCCAACCAGAACCCACGACAGCUGGGGCACAAACUGGGAUUAGAUACCCCACUAUGCCCAGCCGUAAACCUAGAUGCCUUCAUACAACUAACAUCCGCCAGGGGACUACGAGCACUAGCUUAAAACCCAAAGGACUUGGCGGUGCCUCAGACCCCCCUAGAGGAGCCUGUUCUAGAACCGAUAAUCCCCGUUAAACCCUACCACUUCUUGCCUUUCCGCCUAUAUACCACCGUCGCCAGCUUACCCUGUGAAGGGAAAAAAGUAAGCAAAAUGGAAAUCCCCCAAAACGUCAGGUCGAGGUGUAGCACACGAAGUGGAAAGAAAUGGGCUACAUUGCCUGCCACAGGCCACCCACGAAAAGUCACCUGAAACGGUUACUCCAAGGUGGAUUUAGCAGUAAAAGGGGAAUAGAGUGCCCUUUUGAAGUCGGCUCUGAGGCGCGCACACACCGCCCGUCACUCUCCCCAACAACCCAAACAACCAAAGUAAAUAACACCUUAAACAUACUAAGGGGAGGCAAGUCGUAACAUGGUAAGUGUACCG
rnacentral:rRNA from 1 species